rnacentral:rRNA from 1 species
GGCGGCGUGCCUAAUACAUGCAAGUCGAACGGUCUUUCUAUGGAAGCUUGCUUCCACUGAGAAGAUAGUGGCGGACGGGUGAGUAACACGUGGGUAACCUGCCCAUAAGAGGGGGAUAACAUCCGGAAACGGGUGCUAAUACCGCAUAGUUUUCUUGAUCGCAUGAUUGAGAAAGGAAAGACGGCCUUUGUGCUGUCGCUUAUGGAUGGACCCGCGGCGUAUUAGUUAGUUGGUGAGGUAAUGGCUCACCAAGACGAUGAUACGUAGCCGACCUGAGAGGGUGAUCGGCCACAUUGGGACUGAGACACGGCCCAAACUCCUACGGGAGGCAGCAGUAGGGAAUCUUCCGCAAUGGACGAAAGUCUGACGGAGCAACGCCGCGUGAGUGAAGAAAAGGUUUUCGGAUCGUAAAACUCUGUUGUCAGAGAAGAACAAGUUGGAGAGUAACUGCUCCAGCCUUGACGGUAUCUGACCAGAAAGCCACGGCUAACUACGUGCCAGCCGCCGC